UAACAAUAAGCAUAUCACCUUCUUUAUAUUCAAACAAAUAUUUAGACAUUGUGUAUUUUAGCUCAUGGAUUUACACUUAUCUAUUGCAAAGUAGGCUUCCUGUACUAGCCAUAGCACAAGGAAACCACAUUACAUUCUAUCACCUGAACUCAUCUCUGCAAAUGUUCUCAAGUAAUAGAACUUCAAAUUACAUUCUAUCAACCUUCCAAUAAUAAGGAACCACUUUUCAAGAUUCCCAUGAAGUGCUAGAUUUAUACUAAGGUGAAGUGCUAUGAAUCAUUAAAUAAAAUUUUACUCCACAUAAUAGAACUUCACAUUACAUUCUAUCACCUGCCAAAUAAUAAGGAAACCAAUUUUCAAGAUUCCCAUUAAGUGCCACAUUUUUACCAAGGUGAAGUGCUAUGAAUCAUUGCAUAAAAUUUUGCUCCACGUAAUACUUGAAACUGAUACAAAUGGAAACUCACAAAAGACACUAUAUUAGGAGCACAUUGAGAUAGAUGAAUGAAUUUGAAAUUAAAAGAAUGCAAUAAUAAAAUUUUAGAAAAUGCAAUAAAAUAAUAUAUGGCAGUCCAUUAUAAUGAAUAUGUAUUAAUCUUUUGCGAGAACAAAUUUAAAUAAAUGAAUUAAAGAAAAAUAACAUUAUGCAUAGGCGCCAAGUGAGAUGAUAUAGGCAUGAUUUGCCAAUUUCUAGACUGCAGCCAACCAUAGUCUCCAUCAACAUUUCAUGUCCAAUUUUGUACCAUGAAAAUUACUGAAACUUUUCAUCAAACAUGUUCCAGGCAUUCAAGAAUGCAGGCUACAGUCUCUAGUACAUGUCCAAUUUGUAGCAUGAAAACGCAUAAGCAUUUCAUUAAAUAGGUUUUAGAUCAAACAUAUUAAGAAAAUAUUUCAGUAUCAAAGGCAUUUUGCUUGUAAUAUAAAGACUUUGGAGCUUUUAUGACAAUCAAAGGAAUUAUGUUGUAAGAUAAAGAUAUGGAAUAUAGAAUUGGAAUGGCUGAAAAAUAAAAACGGAACCAUUAUAACUGAAAGUAGAGAACUUACCAAGGCAUUAAAAACAUUGAGGGGAAGACAAAAAGAUAAAGCAUAGUAAUUGAAAGCAGGGAACCUGUUGGGAGUUAAAACGUUGAGGGCCCUCGAGGGAAGAAGUGCUAAAAACGUAGAAGAAAUAACGAUAGUAA
rnacentral:misc_RNA from 1 species